UGCCUAAUACAUGCAAGUCGAGCGAGCGGAACCAACAGAUUUACUUCGGUAAUGACGUUGGGAAAGCGAGCGGCGGAUGGGUGAGUAACACGUGGGGAACCUGCCCCUAAGUCUGGGAUACCAUUUGGAAACAGGUGCUAAUACCGGAUAAUAAAGCAGAUCGCAUGAUCAGCUUUUGAAAGGCGGCGUAAGCUGUCGCUAAGGGAUGGCCCCGCGGUGCAUUAGCUAGUUGGUAAGGUAACGGCUUACCAAGGCGACGAUGCAUAGCCGAGUUGAGAGACUGAUCGGCCACAUUGGGACUGAGACACGGCCCAAACUCCUACGGGAGGCAGCAGUAGGGAAUCUUCCACAAUGGACGCAAGUCUGAUGGAGCAACGCCGCGUGAGUGAAGAAGGUUUUCGGAUCGUAAAGCUCUGUUGUUGGUGAAGAAGGAUAGAGGUAGUAACUGGCCUUUAUUUGACGGUAAUCAACCAGAAAGUCACGGCUAACUACGUGCCAGCAGCCGCGGUAAUACGUAGGUGGCAAGCGUUGUCCGGAUUUAUUGGGCGUAAAGCGAGCGCAGGCGGAAAAAUAAGUCUAAUGUGAAAGCCCUCGGCUUAACCGAGGAACUGCAUCGGAAACUGUUUUUCUUGAGUGCAGAAGAGGAGAGUGGAACUCCAUGUGUAGCGGUGGAAUGCGUAGAUAUAUGGAAGAACACCAGUGGCGAAGGC
rnacentral:rRNA from 1 species